UACGAAGGGGGCUAGCGUUGUUCGGAAUUACUGGGCGUAAAGGGCGCGUAGGCUGUGCUGUAAGUCAGGCGUGAAAGCCCCGGGCUCAACCUGGGAAUUGCGCUUGAUACUGCGGCGCUGGAAGGUGGGAGAGGAUGGCGGAAUUCCCAGUGUAGAGGUGGAAUUCGUAGAUAUUGGGAAGAACACCGGUGGCGAAGGCGGCGACCUGGUCCGAUACUGACGCUGAGGCGCGAAAGCGUGGGGAGCAAACAGG
rnacentral:rRNA from 1 species